rnacentral:lncRNA from 1 species
UGCUUCUUUGAAUAUUUAAAUUAAAUAUAUAAGAUAUAUGAACCUCUUAAAGAUCUGAUCAAGGAAAAUAACAAAAUAGGCAAACGUGUAAAUACUUUUUGAAAGCAUAACACGGAUACUGGAAAAAUUAAUAGAACUGGAGCGGAACAUGAAAAUCUGAACGAAAUAGUUGGUUUUCUAGCAAAAAAUUAUCAAAAUUAAUCCAAGAGGUGAAAAAACUUGAAUAUGACAAUUUCCUUAAAAAAUUUGGAAAGGUGAUCAAGUUCUAAACAUAGGAAAAGAGAUGAGAACCAGGUAUAUUCACAACUGAACUUUAUUAAAAACUUUUAAAUAACAGGUCAUCCCAAGGUUAUUAAAGCUCUUCCAGUUAAAAGCAAAUAAAAGCUCCCCAAUUUAUUUUAUAAAGUCAACCUAUACUCAGAACCAAAACCUUUUGGAAGUGUUUAAACAAAUGCAGAUAAGAUUGCAGCUAUACACUUAUCUCUCUUACGAAUAUAAAAGCAGAAUUUUUUUUAAUGUAAAUAAAAUUCUGCAAAGUUUCCAUAGAUCACUACAAUAUAGUCAGGGAGAGUUAAUUCCAAGAAGGUGACUGACUAAACCAGUAAAUUGAUUUGGUGGGUAUGGUGGUUCAUGCUCAGCACUUUGGGAAACCAAAAUAGGAUGAUGGCUUAAGCCCAGGAGUUUGAGACCAGUUUGGGUAACAUAGUGAGACCCCAUCUCUAUAGAAAAAUGUUUUAAAAAUUAGUUGGGUGAGGCAGUGUGCACCUGUGGUCCCAGCUAUUUGGAAGGCUGAGAUGGGAGGAUCACUUAAGCCCAGGGGGUCAAGGUUGCAGUGAGCUGUGAUCAUGUCACUCCACUCCAGCAUGGGUAAUACAGCGAGACUUUAUCUCCAAAAAAAAUAAUUGAUUAAUACAAUUUAUUAAAUACAUCAUUCAAAAUAAGAGGGAAAUAUGAUUAUCCAAAUAAAUGCUAAAAAUAAUUUGCCUAAAUCUAGCAGUAAUGCUUAAUAAAUUAAGAAAACUAUAUAAAUAUGACAAACUACUUAUUAAAAUAUAGUAAGUACUACACUUAAAUGAUAAACCCUACAGUACUUUCAUUUAAAAUUCAGAAUUAAACAGGAAUAAUUUCUGCUUAUACCCAUUAUUAUUUAACAUUGCUUUAGAUAUUCUAGCAACAGUAAAUGAAUCAAGGAAAAUAAAAUAACUGUAAUAACCCAUAGAAAAGAAAAAAAAGCACAACUGUUUUUCUUAAAACAUGUGCAUAUAGACACAUACACAUUUUUAAACAGAAAACCUAUAACUCACUAGUAUGAAUACAAACCAAUGUACAAAAAUGCUAGAAUUAAUAAAAGAAUAUUUGACAUUUUGGGGAUAAAUGAGACUCUUUUAACUCCUUUCCCAUAUCUGGUUCAUUUAGAAGUUCAGCCUUUAAAGAUGCCAGAUAUAUAAUGCUAGUUCUCAAUUUAAAUUAUCCACUAAAUUAAAUUACAGGCAUAAACUCAUCAAAUGUUAGAGUUGAAAGAUUUUUGGAAGAUUUUAUAUUCCAAACCUUAGCACACUACAGAAAUACCUUUAUAAACCAUGGAGAUGGCCACCAAACCCAUGCUUAAAGCAUGCCCAACUAGAGCAAGCUCGUGAUUUCACAAAAAGUAUGUUCUACGCUUAGCUGAAAUAUGCCUUCUCACAAUUUCCUUCUAUGAGCUCCAGCUCUCUCUCUUAAAACCCUCACAACAUAGACUUAAAACAGCUGUCCUUUUUCCAUCUUCCAUUGACACUGAUAAUCAAACUAUCUCUUAUUUUCAGCAACUAUCAUAGUGUAAAAAUAAAGAAGGCUACUGCUGUAUUGUCAAUUGUUUAUAACAUUCGUGAGAAAAACAGACAUUGGUACAGAGCUCUGUAUUUGUGGACCCACUAUAUAAUACGUGACAAAUGAAGUUAUUGUCCAUAGAGUCUUCCACACUGCUUCUUGAGUUUGCAUUAUCCCCUAGUGGUUUAUAAGCAUGACUGAUUGAGGCAAAUUUGAAAAUGUUAGUCUAUCUGAUUCACUAAGACUUCACCAUAAAGCUCAACAUUAGGCACUCAAAUUUUCUGUUCUUUCUGCUUUGGCCAAUUUGAGAUGGCAUCAGGGAAUCAAGUGUUUCAAAUCACAAUACAGAAAAAUAGAACUCCAAUUUAAGAAAUACCCCAGUUGAUGAUGAUAAUUAGGAGGAGGAUAUAUAUUCUUCUCUUACAAUAGCAUCAUUUUUAAAAGUGAGAAACUUUGGCUCAAAGGAAAAAGUUAACACAGUUUAUGUAGAUAUAUUAGCCUAGUAGUUUUAGAAAAUAUGUUUCCAGUUUAUUUUACUGAGCUGCGUUAGGCAGUCUGCCAAAUCAGGUUAUGUGAGAACAGUAGAAUGGUAACUCUGGACUCAAUUACAAUUGAAUUACCAAAUAAGCAAUGCAAAGGACAUAAAAGAGACAAAAAAAAAAGCAAUCAAGCCAGUGCAGUGCUCUGUUGCUUCCUAGUUCUUCUUGGAAAUGCACACACAAUUAUGAUUCCCAGUGCUGCUGCUCCUUUGGGGUAAAGACAGUCUCCCAGAUCAGAGGACCUCAGAACUGUGGGCUUCUUGUCCUCUCGUUAUUUUAUACCAUUAGGUCAGAGGAGGAGUUACGUCAGCACUCCUCACCAUUUAGGGAGAUGGAUUUUGGUGUCCUGAGGGAUGUUUGCAGUUUAUUUGUUCCUACUUCAAAGAAAAUACUUCUAUAUUUCAUUUAGCAGAAAUAAAAAGUUACGUGAUUCCAGAGUUUUGUACAGAAGGUUUGUCCAUGACCUAUCAUAUGUCAGUUCUGGACAAUCAUCUCUAUACUUACAUUUGAGUGCUUUUGAAACAUUCGAAAUGCAGAUAUUGAGAACUGGAAUUUGUCAUCCAAAAGAGGAUGACUAUGAAGGUAGAAACUGUUGUAUAAUAAUAAAUGUUUAAAGAAGUGGGUUGUUUACCCUCUGGAAAAGUGAACUGACUAUGGUAAAUACAAUACGCUUAACAAGUAUUUUGUGAGUGAGAGAAGUUGGUUUCAAAUAAUUUAUUUAAGUGUAUUUGACUGUUCCAUUUCAUUGAAAAGAAACGGUAGUAGAAAACAGAUUUUAAUUUAAAUUAAGAAAAGAGCAUUUUCAGUGUUAGAGAGGUUCGACAAUAAAAUCAGCUGUCUUAUAAUCAGCUUAUAAUCCCACAGAUCAGCCCAUUAAAAAGAGGCUGAAUUAUUUCUGCCAAGCAAAAAAAAAAAAAAAAAAAAAUCAAGAAGUGGUCAACUGUGUCAAAUAUUGCAAAUAGUUUAAGUUAGACAAUGACAGGAAAUGUUCUAUUGUAUUUAGCAAACUAGAGGUCAUUGCACACUUUUUAAAGAGCCAUUUCAGUGAAGAGGUUAUGUAAUUUUAAUGAGAGUACUUAAACUAGACAUCGGUCAGCCCCAAAACUAAUUAACAUAUACAUCUUCACUUCAAAUAAACUUGUAUAAAAGUUUGAUCUGUAGCAUAAGGAAUGUGCUGGUAAGAGAUAUUAAAUGAUGCAGUUUACUAUGUAAGAAACACUUCUAACAUACCAAUAGUCUGCAGUUCACACGACAUUUAUGCCAUCAGUCAGGAGUUUGACUAUAAGCAACUAAAAAUCGUUGAAAUGCUACCUUUCAAUGUAGAUAGCAUAAUAUGCCAUUUUAGAGAUAUAAAAAUUAGGUGAGUCACUAAAGUCCAAAUAAUAGCCUACUAAUAUUAACAAAUAUAUAUAGCAUUUUUACUCUAUGCUAGACAUCAUUCUAAGUAAUUUACAUGUAUCCAUGUAUUUAAUCCUCAUAAAAACUCUGAUGGUAUGAAGUCUUAUUACACCAUUUUACUGAUGGAGCAAAUGAUGCACAUGAAAAUAUGUGCCCAAGGUCAUUUAACUGGUGAGAUUGCAGAACUAGAAUUAAAAUCCAGUGAGACUGGCUUCAAAAUCUAGAUGCUUAAGCAGUCACUCCGCUGCCUCUCACAGUGAUAGUAACUGAGUUGUGAUUUAAAUCCACAUUUUGUACCCCCAGCAAACUUUUAUUUCUACUACUUCUCAGGUGCUAGAAACCUCCCAGAUUUGUAGUGGAGAAAGAGAAAACAGCUUAAUUUAUAAUUAUGUCAAAGAGGGGGAAAAGUGCUUAUAAUUUAUAAAGGAGCCAGGGCAGGCAGAGUUUUGCCCAGAAUUAGAGAACUAGUCUUAGAGAAGGAGAGAGAGAAAAAAACAUUUGAUUUAUUUCCUUGAUAUCAACCUCAUCAGCAAUAGGUUGCAUGAAACUUCACCAAGAAUACUGCUUAAAUAUUAAUGUAAUAUGACAGAUAAAAGUAACAUGACAAAACAUUUAUGACAAAUAUAAAUUAGCUCUGCGGUUUUAUAUGAGCUUUGCUCUGUUCUAGUCUUUUGAUUUAAUCUUUUAAUUUGAAAAAUCCUUCCAAAUUCAGAAUAACUGGUGAUGUGUUAGGAGUUUAUCAUUACAUGCCAUUCAUUGUCUUCCUAAGAAAUACAGUAUUUUGCUAAAUAAAUUGUGAUGCACAUUAAAAAUGGAUACAAAGUCUAAAAGAGGUAAAGAUGUUUCUUCCUAACUUAUCAAGGAAAGGUUCCUAGAUGAAAGAAUAUCAAUAAAUAAAUUUAAAAUCGGUGGCAUAAUGUAUAGCCACGUAGAAAAUUAGCUUUUACCCAAAACACAUGUGGCUCAAAUUUUAGCCCCACUGUGCUAAGAUUAAAGGCCACCAGGGUAAAUGUUCUUUUUUGCUUAAAAUUACACUAAAUUGUUGGUCUUCUCUGCUGGACUAUACACUCCUCAAGGAUAGCAACCAUAUCUUAUUUACCUUUAUGCACUUCUUAUCAAAAGAGAAAUAACUUAGGCCUGAAUUGAGGAAACUAUUUCUAUGUCUAUACCCAUCAGAUGUGGCUAAAGAAGAGACACAACUAGAUGUUAGAAAUGUUGCUACACAUUUAUUUAGGAAGGGUGAAAAUCUCCAGUAAUUUUAAUUAGACAGACUACUGUCUAUGUAAAAGCUUGACUGUUACCCAAAGGCAAAGAAUGGCAACCCUUCACUUACUGAGUUUUUUUUUUUUCUACCUCUAAAACUAUAACAUCAAAAACUAUAAGGAAGACAAUGACCGUAACAUUUCUUACAAUGCUCUUAUGUCAUCAUAAUGUAACCAGCUCCCUUGAGAGUUCAGCACUCCAGCAUUUUUAGUGGCUGAAAUAAUGAAAAUUCUAAUUAGGCUUUGCUUGCUUGCUGCACAAAAGCCAACAUCCCUUGUUUCCACAGUAUAAACUGCUGAUGUACUGUUUCUUUGCCAAGCAGGAGGAGGUGACUUCAGGGUCAUGAAAAAGAUUUGCAGAAGGAAUGGACAUGGCGACCAGCUGCUGAUACUCAAGGGUCUGGUUGCUCAAGAUGUUUUCUGAGACUGAAGACACACAGACUUUUCCCCUCGCUUCCCUGAAACUCCCCCUCCCUUAACUCUCUAGCCACAUAAAAAUUCCCCGCUUCUUUUUGUUUAGAGGGAUUUGAGAGAUCUUGCCUUCUCAUGUUGGCCAAAUUGAAGAAAGCUUUUUCUCCAAGCAGUUGUUUGCCAGUGUUUGGUGUUAACUGCACAUCAGGUACAUAAGUCUAAAUUUGGGGUUCUGUAACAAUGACACUAUAUUAAAGAAUUACAGAAAUGUGUUUUCUGCCCUUUACAGGUUCAUAAUUUAUGGUGGAUAACUUAUAAGCAAAUAAUUAAAGAUCUAUUAAGGUAAAUUCAUUGAUUGAUUGAAUUGGGUUGUGCACAAAAAAGGAAAAUAAAAGAAUUUAAGGGUGUUUUCCUGACUUUCCUGAUGGAUGACCUUGCUAAAAAUUCCAGGCGACGCUGGUAUCCAGAGAGGGUUCUGUGUGAAAAGAGAUUCCAUGAGACAAAUGGAAGAACAAGGAGAGGCGAAAGGAACAAUAGAGGUCUUUCAGAAGCAGGUCAACAAACAUUGAUGCAGCAUUUUCUUUGUGCGUGUUGAAGUAACAAUGAGCCUCAGAACUUCUAAUAAGCAGCAUAAUUGCCAUGUGGAGAAGGCUACAUUAUACAACACCAAUUUCUCUCUGAAGAUCCACCACCUCCGGAUGAAUGUUACUGAUUCCUACUGUCUAUUUCAUAGAUCUUCAACUCUUGUUCUUUUGUUUAAAGAUAUGAGUCUAAGCUUAGACAUAUAUGAUGCUUUCAAUUCAAAAAUGUUGUUUAGAAAAGGCGCUCAUUUAAAGAAUUUGCUGAAAGCUAAAGGAUAACCAAAGCAAAAGGCACACACAGGGUAACAUAAAUCUAGAAUAUAUGUUUUGCCAUAUGUAUUUUUCUCAUUUCCAAUCUAUUGUUAAAUACAUGGCAUCCUCCUACCACACCCUUACUUCCACUAGGCAGAGCAUCCAUUUAUUCUCUACCAUGCACAAGUCUUUGGCUUCAAAGUCAUAGGUUUCCAUGGUUACAGUUCUUCAUUGGUGUUCUUAUUUUCCUCAGGUAACUGAUAUUAAACUGGACUUCCCUCUCUUGCUCAAACCUCUGAGGUCCUCAUAGGCUAGAUUAUCAUCAAUAUAAUAUGACAACCUUAAGAUUCAUAUUAAACACAAACACUCUUGGUAAUUGGAAGGGAGAAAGUGAGAGGGAGGAGUCUUGAAAGAGAAUAUUGUUUCAUUACCUUUUCUUUCAAUUUUUGGGUAGCUUUUAUGGUCGUAAAGUAGCCUUUGGGAAAAAAUAUUGGAGACACUUGCAGUUUUAAGGCUUUAUCAAUGUCUGGUAAUGUGAUGUGGAGAUGAUAGAGCUUAAAUGUGAUGUGUUAAGCCACUGUUUCAGCACAUUUAAGCCAUGACUAAAAAGAGAAUUAUGAAUAUACCUGUAAAAAAGGAUAGAUGAGAAAUAAAGAAGUGUUGAAGCAUUCGGAUGACUAGUGAAGGAAAUCUCUUAGUCUAAAUUGGUCUGAUAGUCUUAAAAUGUGGAAUAGAACGUGGAGAAGAGUCCAUAACUAUCGAGCCAUAAGAGUGUAAUACAUACUAGAAGGGUAUUUGGGGGCUCAGGAGGAGGUGGGGAUGGUUAGCAGGUACAAAAUAAAAUAGAGUGAAUGAAUAAGACCUACUAUUUAACAGCACCAUAGGGUGACUAUAGUCAAUAAUAACUUAAUUGUACAAUAACUUCUACAAUUUUAAAAUAACUUAAAGGAUGUAAUUGGAUUGUUUGGAAUUUGAAGGAUAAAUGCUUGAGGGGAUGAAUAACCCAUUCUCCUGAAUGUGCUUAUUUCACAUUGCAAGCCUAUAUCAAAACAUCUCAUGUACUCCAUAAAUAUAUACACCUACUAUGUACCCAUAAAAUUUAAAAAAAUGAUAACUCAUUCUGCAAUUAAUGACAACCAAAUAUGUGGACUAAGAGAGAAAUGAAGUAGCAUAGCAAGGACUCCUGGAAAUUCUUGAAAGCAAAAUGCAAAAAUCUUAACAAAUUGAAAAAGCAUCCCAAAAACAGUUACUGAAAUUAUAACACAGAGUUUAUACAAAUUUUAAUUGGUCUUUAUAUAGAAUUAUGAACAUCAUAAUUGGUGAGAAAGACAAGCAAGAUUGAAAUUUUCAUAAGCAUUUGAAUAACUCUUAAAUCUCAGACAUUGACAGCAAAUUGACUUCAGAGAUAUGACAAGAAACAGCUGGAGCUGAAGCAGCAGGGCUGAGGAGCUCCAAACAAAGAAAAAGGAUAAAAUGGAAUUACUCUCAGAGCCCUUAGGGCAAGAUCAAAGCUCCGCUUUAGUUCACUCCAUCUAAUAAUCUUAGAAUAUAACAACAUGAAAAUGUGACUUGUGACUAGGAAACUGAGAACUGUAAAUGAUGUUAAUAAAAAUACAAGCUGAUCUGUUUGGGGAGAUAAGAGGGGGGUUGUAGAUUUUAUUUUUUGGUUGUGAAAAUAGAAAUAGGGUUUAAAUAUAUUUUUGCCUUCUUCAAACAAUACUGAAGAGUGAAAGAAGAGGUAGUCUUGUAAACCAGUGGUUAAAAACCAUAGCUAUUCUAUCCUACGUCUUCACUAUCAUUCUAAGUGGAUUGUAUGAGAAAUGAGGGGGGGGAAAAAGUACUAUUUUCCAGUUAAGGCUCUCAUUUGUGUAGUCACUCACAAAGCCCUGGUCCUAUUUCCAAGUGGCCAAUGACUUUUGAAUCUUUCAUCUUUACAGUUCAGUUUGAUUUCUCCUUCAUUCAUCGAAACCACCUUACCUCAAAUAUGACCACCCUUGUUUAAAUCCCUCCUUAAGGGUAUGACAUAGCAUCACUAUAUCUGAUUUUCUUGUAAUUCUUAGAGAAAAUUAUAACUAUCACAGGCCUUUUCCCCUAAUUCUUACCCAACUCUCAAGACCUUAGGUCCAGAACUUAGAAUAUAAUCUAGUGCCUUUGCCAAAUGGUAUAGAUGUCCUUCUUCUCAUUAGUUUUUUCAAAAACAAUGGUGAAAAUCUCAAAAAAUAUGCCCCUUCAAUGAGAGGUAAUUGUUUACUUUGAAGUAAAUGGUCAUUCAUGAUACAUCUCUAAAUUACCUUCAGAACGUGUUUCUCAGAACUAAUGUUAUAUGUAGACAUGUAGGCCAGGCAUAGUAGCUCACACCUGUAAUCCCAGCACUUUGGGAUUCAGAGGCAGGUGGAUCUCCUGAGAUCACGAGUUCGAGACCAGCCUGGGUGACAUGGCGAAACCCUGUCUCUACGAAAAAUACAAAAAUUAGCCACAUGUAGUAGCCUCCCAAGUAGCCUGCUCCUGUAGUCUCAGCUACUUGGGAGGCUGAGGUAGGAGGACUGCUUGAGCCUGGGUAGUUGAGGUUGUACCACUGCACUCCAGCCUCAGUGACAAAGUGAGACCCUGUCUCAUUAAAAAAAAAAAAAAAAAAAAAAAAAGAAUCCAAAUGUAGAUAUGUAAUCAGCACCAAACUGCUGUAGCGUUGCCCUUCGAUUUCCAAUUUUCUGUGUUGUUGUGUGGACAUUUAUAAAAUUUGUUUCUGUGACUAAAGAACACAUAAAGGAUUUGCAAAAAUGGAAUGUCUUUUAUUGCACACAAUUCAUUGCUGCAAUGAUCUUUAUUUAUUUGAGAACAUGGUAACAAUAAUAAUAUAUUUCAACCAAAUGGUGGAGUGAUACAGGAAGUCUCUGUUUCAUUUUCUGGUAGAAUGAGACCACCUCAUUCUCAUCACACAGUCCAGGAUCCCUUAAGGAACAUUUUCUAGGCAGCUUUACUAGCCAACAUUCUGGUCCAAACAUGAAGUACAUGAACCUGCCUUGGGAAUAGUGGCUAUCCAGCCCCCCAGACAUUACACCAUGUGAUUUUGCGUCACCGCUGCCUUCAAUGAUUAUAAGCCAGAGGAUUUAUAUGGUCUUGUACUCUGACAUAAGCAGCACAUAUUUAUGAGAUUUUGGAAAUAACUGUGGUAACGUAUUUAAAAAUUGACUUUUGUCCCAUGUUCAUGUGUUCCUAAAUGACUUUGUUGAUGAGUAAUACAUUUUUGAAGAUACUCAAUUUUUUAUAAAUACUAUGUAUGUUAAAAUGUAAGUAUAUGCAGUGUAUGUACAAAUUGAGUUCUUAUGUGCUCAGCCCUGCACUGAGCAAAUUGACAUAUAUUAUCUCAUUUUAUUUUCAUAAAAAUACUAUGAGAAAAGGAGUCAUUGAUGCACAGAUAGAUUAAACAACUUGCCCAAAGUUACACAACUAGUUCAGAAGUCAUGAUGUUAUAUUAAAUGUAUCGGUAAAGAUAGGUGCUCGCUAGUGGGUGUUUCAGCACAAUUUCAUCACCAAGCCUUAUAACACUCAAAUUAGCAUUUGAUAUGGUUUGGAUAUUUAGCCCACCUCAGUCUCAUGCUACAAUGUAAUCAAUCCCCAAUGUUGGAGGUGGGGCCUGAUGGGAGAUGUUUGGGUCUUGUGGGUGGAUCCCUCAUGCCUGGGAGCUGUUCUCAAGAUCUCGAGAUAGUGAGUGAGUUCUCAGGAGAUCUAGUCGUUUGAAAGUGUAUAGCAUCUUCCCCUUCUCUCUUGCCUCCCUUCUGCCAUGUAAAGUGCCUGCUCCCACUUUACCUUCCACCGUGAUUAAAAGCUCCCU